rnacentral:snRNA from 1 species
CUGGCUUCUACUGUUGUU